CUAGGUAUAAGCUUUCGUGUGCAUGCACACUUCUUCAGGUACUAUCUGAAGAAGUGUUGAUGCACACGAAAGCUUAUACCUGGAAA